rnacentral:rRNA from 1 species
UACGUAGGGGCCUAGCGUUGUCCGGAUUUAUUGGGCGUAAAGAGCUCGUAGGCGGCGCGGUAAGUCGGGUGUGAAAUCUCGGAGCUUAACUCCGAAACUGCAUUCGAUACUGCCGUGCUUGAGGACUGGAGAGGAGACUGGAAUUUACGGUGUAGCGGUGAAAUGCGUAGAUAUCGUAAGGAAGACCAGUGGCGAAGGCGGGUCUCUGGACAGUUCCUGACGCUGAGGCACGAAGGUCAGGGGAGCAAACGGG